rnacentral:rRNA from 1 species
ACGUCUUUUUCAAGCGUUGUCCGGAUUUACUGGGUGUAAAGGGCGCGCAGGCGGAGUGGUAAGUCAGUGGUGAAAUCCUACAGCUUAACUGUAGAACUGCCUUUGAUACUUUCAUUCUUGAGUUCGGGAGAGAGAGACGGAAUUCCAGGUGUAGUGGUGAAAUACGUAGAUAUCUGGAGGAACACCAGUUGCGAAGGCGGUCUCUUGGUCCGAUACUGACGCUGAGGCGCGAAAGCGUGGGGAGCAAACAG